rnacentral:lncRNA from 1 species
GCGAGGCGUCACACGCUCUGCCUCCGGGAGGCAGGGAAACGCUGAGGGACCGAUGGGAAGGCAUGAAUGAAUGAAUCUCCAUAAAGAGCCCCAAGCAGCAGGGAGAGGGAGAGAGAGGAGGAGGAGGAGGAGGAAGGAGGAAAGGAAGAGCCGGAGCAGGGCAGGCAGCAAACGUGGAACCGGCAGCUCCAACCACGAUCAGUGCAUAAAUCUACCUGCAACCCAGGAUGUUGGAAAAUUACCGAGAGACAGCCCCGUCCUCCCAGCUGCUCGGUGAGAAAGGAAGGAUGCACCUUCAGUUCGAAWACUGGGCUUGGUGACCCACCUUCCAGGAUCCUCAAUGCUGCGUCCAGUGUGCCUCCCAGCCCCGACAGACAACUAGGCGACGCUCAUGACUUUAGCAGGAACCAGCAGCAACACACAGGCACAAAGGUGAGCCAAGUGACCAGGCACGGAGAGCCAGACCCMCAGAGGCAAAUGGAGACGGAGCCCAGUGCCGCAAUGGGCAGCAAAAAGAAAACAAGGAGAUGUACUGUAAAAAGUGAGUGGAAGGCUUGUCUCUAAGCCAGAGAGACUCCUCCUCUGCACAAGCACCUAACUUCAUGACUUCCCCCGCAAGAUGCCACAGGCCUGGUGAUGCAGGACCACCCUCAGCCGCCCAGGCCUUGGUAGGAGCGCCCGGCCCGUGGCUACCAAGUACCUCGGGCACAGAGGUCCGCUUUUGCCACGGACACUUCCCUGCCGGCUCCAAGCCAUGAGGAGAAGGGAGAGGAGAGAAAAGCUGUCAAAGAAACACUAACCCACCUCUUCCUGGCCCCCACCCCACUCCCCACUUCCAGCAGACCAGGGAACCCCU